GUGGGGAAUAUUGGACAAUGGGGGCAACCCUGAUCCAGCAAUGCCGCGUGGGUGAAGAAGGUCUUCGGAUUGUAAAGCCCUUUCGGCGGGGACGAUGAUGACGGUACCCGCAGAAGAAGCCCCGGCUAACUUCGUGCCAGCAGCCGCGGUAAUACGAAGGGGGCUAGCGUUGCUCGGAAUUACUGGGCGUAAAGGGCGCGUAGGCGGCUUUGCAAGUCAGGCGUGAAAUUCCUGGGCUUAACCUGGGGGCUGCGCUUGAGACUGUGGAGCUAGAGGUCAGAAGAGGGUCGUGGAAUUCCCAGUGUAGAGGUGAAAUUCGUAGAUAUUGGGAAGAACACCGGUGGCGAAGGCGGCGACCUGGUCUGAUACUGACGCUGAGGCGCGACAGCGUGGGGAGCAAACAGGAUUAGAAACCCGAGUAGUCC
rnacentral:rRNA from 1 species